CGCCUCCACCCUCGCCCGUCGAAUCGCGAACUUUCCUGUCGUUUUUAACUUAAAACUCGCCUAUUUUUUUUUUUUAACUUUUCACUAGCUUUUCAAAAAGCAACGCGAUUAAAAGCAGUUAAGGGAAGCUAUUAUCAUCUUUUCUGUUCUUUUUUUUUAAAAAAAAAUUCUUCCAUUUCUUUCAUUUUCUGGUGAGUUUACAAUGUUUUCAGAAUUAUAUGUUUUAUAAGUGGGCUUAUUCAAUGCUACUCGCCCCACCAUCAUUUGGGUACUUGUGACGAGAAGAUUCUCAGAAACUGAAGCAAGAUGUUACCUCCUUGUUUCCUUCCCCUAUUCCAAUAUUUUAUCCCCAACUAAUCCCACCCUCCACGCCGCCCCUUUUCUCGUCAUUGGUCCGCUUCCUCUUUCGUAGUAACGCUCUUCCAAUUGUCAAAUAAUCAGCGACAGAUCAUCGCCGGGAAACCAUGUCCGAUCCCGUCUCCGGCGCCGGAUCGGCCGAGGACUGGCUCGCCCGGGCCCAGCUUUUAGUCCCCACGGCCCAAGAAAAGGCCCGGGCAGCGACGGGCUUCUCGGGGCGGUGGAAAGCCAUCGUCUCCAAGCUAGAGCGCAUCCCGCCAUGCUUGUCCGACCUCGCCAGCCACCCAUGCUUCGCCAAAAACGCCCUCUGCCGGGACCAGCUCCAGUCGGUCGCCGACACCCUCGCGGAGGCGAUCGACUUGGCCGACCGCUGCCUCUCCGGCGACCCUCCCGCCGGCAAGCUCCGCACCCAGAGCGACCUCGACGCGCUCUCCGGCAAGCUCGACCUUAACCUCCGCGACUGCGGCCUCCUUGUCAAGACCGGCGUCCUCGGUGAGGCUACCAUGCCGCCGCCACCCGCCGCCGCCGCCCGCUACGGCGAGCCGGUGGCCGUCCGCUUGAAUCUCCGCGAAUUGCUCGCUCGUCUCCAGAUUGGCCACGCCGAGGCGAAGCACCGGGCGCUGGAUGGCCUGCUGGAGGCGAUGAGGGACGAGGAGAAGAGCGUCAUGGCGGUGCUCGGCCGGAGCAAUAUUUCAGGUCUUAUACAGCUCCUCACCGCGACCUCGCCCCAGAUUAGAGAGAAGGCUGUGACUGUGAUCUGUUUGCUUGCCGAGUCGGGGAAUUGCGAGGAUUUGCUGGUUUCUGAAGGGGUGCUUCCCCCAUUGAUAAGGCUGGUGGAGUCUGGAAGCUUGGUGGGCAGAGAGAAGGCGGCGAUAUCGCUCCAGAGGCUGUCUAUGUCGGUCAAUACUGCCCGCUCCAUCGCCGGACAUGGUGGAAUUCGGCCGCUUAUCGAGCUCUGUCAGAUUGGUGACUCCAUUUCUCAGACAGCGGCUGCUGGUACUUUGAAGAACCUUUCGAUCGUGCCCGAAGCGAGGCAGGGUCUGGCUGAGGAGGGAGUUGUUAGAGUGAUGAUCAAUCUUCUUGACUGUGGAAUUGUGUUAGGCUCGAAGGAGUAUGCAGCUGAAUGCUUGCAGAAUCUGACAUCCAGUAACGACAGUUUGAGGAGGUCCGUUGUGUCUGAAGGGGGGAUUCGGAGCCUUCUGGCCUACCUUGAUGGGCCCUUGCCGCAGGAAUCUGCGAUCGGUGCAUUGAGGAAUCUGGUGGCCUCAGUCUCGACAGACAGCCUCGUUUCACUCGGCCUCCUUUCUCGGUUGGUUCAUGUGCUGAAAGAUGGGUCUUUAGGAGCGCAGGAGGCAGCAGCGGCUACAAUUUGUAAGGUUUCCAGCUCGAUGGACAUGAAGAGACUGAUCGGGGAAUUUGGUUGCAUUCCUUUGCUUGUGAAGAUGCUCGAGGGCACGACGAAUGGUGCGAGAGAGGUCUCUGCCCAGGCCAUUGCUAGCUUGAUAAGCUGCCGACAGAACAAUAGGGAGGUUAAGAAAGAUGAGAAGUGUGUGCCUAAUCUAGUUCAGUUGCUCGAUGCCAAUCCUCAGAAUACAGCAAAGAAGUAUGCAGUGUCUUGCCUUUUAUCUCUCUCUUCGAGCAAGAAGUGCAAGAAGAUGAUGAUUUCGUAUGGGGCGAUUGGGUAUCUUAAGAAGCUCUCGGAGAUGGAUGUGCCUGGCGCGAAGAAGCUACUUGAACGAUUAGAACGAGGGAGAUUGAGGAGCUUGUUUAGCAGGAAAUAGUAUCGCUCGCUGGCAUAUCAUUCUCGGAGAUGAUUGUAGUGUAAUAUCUGCUGAUGUAGGACUGGAAAGACCAGAUCAACGGCACCAAGAAAUCUACAACAAUCAAUCGCUGCACUAUUUUCUAUUAUUUUGGCAUGGAUUAUAACUGAAUGAAGUUUGAUUUUUGGAUGACUGGAGGGAGAUUUCAAAGUUCAUGAGUAUGAGGUAUUGAAAUUUCUUGGUGCAGAUUGUUUUGAAUUUAUGAUAUUUACCAUUCGAUUAUGUAUCAUUCCUUGUCCAUCUACUAUAUUUUUGCAUGAUAACAAUUUAUCUGAACAAUGACAUUCAAAAGAUUUUGAACUAGAUGUUAAUAAACAUAUGCUACUCUGAAAGUAGAUUUUUCAGAUGUAAUUUUUUCACCAUGUUGUAUUGUGGAGUACACUUUCAUAUUCAUGGAUGAGGCACUACUCGCCCACUAAUAUCAGCACUGAUGUGAUUUUUGUUGUG